UCCCUGGUGUGUUGGCCAGUCGGUGAUGUCCCUGAGCCGAUAACAGCAACAACGGAGGUUGCCAGUUGGACCGGUGUGCAUGUCCGCACGACGGAAAGCCUUAAGGUCUACUGCAACCGCCACCUUGAACUUUCGGGUUCAAGGGCUAACCCGACAGCGGCACGACCGGGGA
rnacentral:other from 1 species